rnacentral:ncRNA from 1 species
UUCUUAUCAAGAGAGAUGGAGGGACUGGCCCUAAGAAAUCUCGGCAGCGGAACAUAAUGUUACUGUGCCAAAUCCAGCAAGCGUAGCUUUGAUAGAUAAGUG